rnacentral:lncRNA from 1 species
CCGGCAGCUGCCCCGUCUGAGAGGAGACGGUGCUGGAGGAGCAGCACAGGACGAGGAAGGGCUUCUCUUGCAGGCUCCUCAGUGAGGUGUCCCGCAGCAUCCAGCCUCCUGCAGCAGCCCAGAGAGUGGCCUGCCAGAGAGUUCCACCCACACCGGCACUUCAGCAAACUUUCCUGCAGCCAGGGCGCCUCGGCUGUACCAUCUCUAACAAGGGCCAAUGCUGCUCCCCAAGCUGGGACCCUCAGAGCCACACCAUGGCGGCUUGGAAGGUGGCAGGGCUGCAGAAGAGGCUGUGGAGGAACUUGGAGCGUGACUCCAAAGGACGACAAGCAGAGGAACCCUGGGCAUGUCAAGCCUCCCCUGUGCCCCUUUACCACCCCGUACCAGGGCCCUGCUUCUCCUGCAGGCUCUGAAUAAGCCUCCAAGUUGCCGCCAGAUUGCCCAGCACCCAGAUGACUUUCCAGCAAAGAAACUUAAGGAUGCAUAGUCCUUCAGGAUGGAUUUCUGCCUUUGCCCCAUGAAAUCUCCCGAGAUACAGACCCCAGAGCAUGGACCUCUCUUAGGUACUGGGCCACCCUCCUACCCCAGCCGGGCUUAGAAUUCUUCCCAGUGUAUCCCCCCCACCCUGGUCCAUCAGGACCCCCAGAUCCUCUUCCUCUCUCAAGUCAGUCUCUGCCACCUCACUCUUCAGCUGUCCUCUGUGCUGUGACAGUCCUUCUUACCACAUCUCCCCUGGCUGGCCUGUCCUUGAGGCUUGGGCUGAAACCAUCAGCAAGACCUUUGUCUCCUUUCCUACUGGCCUUCCCUGCUCCCCACCCGUAGGUCCCCACUCCAUGCCUUAUGGGUGGUCUGGCCCACACUCCAGCCAGAGCCACCAGGACAUUUCCAAAUUACAUCCUUCAAGAAUCAGGAAGAGAUUUCAGAAGGAAAUUGCUUUCUCCCCUGCUCAGUCCAAAUGAGACUAUUUUUUACUUGUCUUGCCCCUCCCCCACCUCUCUCUCUUGCAAUUUCAGUAAAAAAUGAGAACAGUAGAAAGCGGACCCCCUCGUUGGUCAGCCUUUCUCCCUCCUGAGGUCUGCAGAGGCCUGAAGGCAUCAGCUGGGCUAGGGCAGCACCGGCUCCAUUCCUGCGGACAGGCUGUACUCCAGGGCUCCAUAAGCCCAGAGGCCAGGUCCGGGGAGCUGCAGGAGAGGGCAGACUUGGGGGACAGGGGGAGCCUGUGGCUAGAGAGAGUCAGGCAAACCUGUGAAGUAGGAGCCUCACUUUGUCUCCUGAUGCCCCUCUCCCUCCAGGAAUGUCCUCCAUUGCCUCCAGGUCCCUACAGGUCUCAGGUCAGAGGCAAGACAUCCAGGACAUCUAAUGCUCCAUCUAUGCCACCUGUGCCAGGCCUCUGAAGGUCACCCCUUCAAGAAAGCACCAGCCUGAGUCAGGGGGCCCGAGCUCCAGCCCUGCUCAGAAUGCCACUGCUCUCUCUGCUUCAGUCGUCUCACCCAGAAGUGAGGCCACCUCCAGAGUUGGGGCCAGGAUCAGAUGGGAUGAUGCAGGUGCAGGCGCCUUGUAAAGAGUGCAGGCUGCUGUUUGCUGACCACUCAUGCCGUGCCAUGCCCUGUGCUGAGUGCUUAAGUGUGUAAUCUCAUUUUGUCUUCACAAGAAUCUUCCAGGAGAGUCUAUUGUCAUUUCAUCUAAAGAGAAGGGAUCAAAGCUCAGGGAGGCCAUGGAACUGCCUAAAGGCACACAGCGGCCGAGACCUCAAAUCCCUGUUCUUAACCCUGUUCACACUGUGUUGUCAGGUGCUAGUCUGAGUUUUGUUAAAGGUACCUUUGAAGAACUAUUGAUAUGGUUAGGCUUUGUGUCCCCACCCAAAUCUCAUCUUGAAUUGUAAUCCCCGUAAUCCCCACAUGUCAAGGAGAAAACAGGUGGAGGUAACUGAAUAGUGGGAUCAGUUUCCCCCAUGCUGGUAUCAUGAUAAUGAGUUCUUAUGAGAUCUGAUGGUUUUAUAAGGGGCUCUUCCCCUUGGCUGAGCUUCUUCUUCCUGCCACCUUGUGAAGAAGGUGCUUGCUUCCCCUUCACCUUCCACCACGAUUGUAAGUUUCCUGAGGCCUCCCCAGCCAUGCGGAACUGUGAGGCAGUUAAGCCUCUUUCCUUUAUAAAUUACCCAGUCUUGGACAGUUCUUUAUAGCAGUAUGAAAAUGGACUAAUACAAUUAUCACCCCAAGAGAUAAGUGCAGGAGGAAUUUCAGGCUGUGCAUGUGUGGAGGAGACACGGGGUUGAGGAGAGCUUCUAGAAUUCCUCAAAUGACAAUAAUAGUGGCCAACUUGUGCAGGCUGUGUGCUAACCUGCACACAGUUAGCCUGCACAGGUUAGCCACUAUUAUUGUCAUUUGCUAGCCACUCUGAUGCUGUGGCUGACUAUGUGCAGGACUCUGCUAAAUUCUUUCUCUUGUUAACUCAUUUAAUACUUACCAUCCUCUAAGACAGGUACUGUUAUCAUCUCCAGUGUGCAGAUGGAAAAGCUGAGGCACAGAGAGGUGGCUUAAGGCAUUCAAAGGCAUGUGACUAGUUAGCCUCUGCCCCUUACAGCCUCAGCCACGACACCGAGGGAGCUACUUCUCCUCCCACUGACUCCUCUUCCUGAACCAGAAUGUACCUUGUGGGAGUUGUGGGACAAGGAAUAAAUGGGGGGCUAAUUGUCAGAAUAAGAACCCCAGACCCAGGACCCACAGUGAGGAUGGGGAUGUCUCUGCCCUGACUUUCAGGUCAAAAUCACCUUCUCUGUCUAUCACACCCCUCUCCCCCGACACCCAACAUAACACCUAUAGUCCAUGCUGUUCAAGGCUGUGGUGCUGAAGGAGGGGGUGUGGACUGGGUACCCUGGGACACAGGGCUGCUUGGCUGUUAGUCUCCUGGUUCCUCCCACCCCACCCCGGAGCCUCCCAAUCUCCCUCUUGAGUGUGUCCCAUCUCUGGCUCUCUGUGCCAGUUGCCCUUGUUUCCCUUACCCCCAUCCAUCCCUUUUCCUGGCACCAAGCUUCAGAUUGCAGGGUCACCUCAGCCACUGGACAGUCACAGGGAGCCAAGGACAAAAGGACCAGUGACAUCACUUGGGAAUGAGACCAGGAAGUUCAAGCCUGGCUGACGGGGCCAGGGAGGGGAGAGCUAACCAGGAGAUGACAGGUUCACCAACCUGUCAACAAGAGUGUAUCUAGACCCAGCAAUGCUAGGCUGUGGCUGAGCAAGUCACAUGGACUGUUAACCAAGGGGUCUAUCGGGGCAGCAGCAGCAAGGGACCUCCCCUGUAAUGCAAGACUUCUGUCACCUCAAGCUUCUUCUCCA